rnacentral:misc_RNA from 1 species
AAGUCGUAACAAGGUUUCUGUAGGUGAACCUGCAGAAGGAUCAUUAGUGAAGAUUUGGGCAGGCCAUACGCACGCCAAAAAAGUGUCCCUGGCCGCCUACACCCACUAUACAUCCACAAACCCGUGUGCACUGUCUUGGAGAAAGGCUUCUUGAGAAGUUUUGUGGCCUCUCUUGGGGUCUUUCUUCGCUACAAACUCGAAUGGUUAGUAUGAACGUGGAACUUGGUUGGACCGUCACUGGCCAACAAACUAUACACAACUUUCGACAACGGAUCUCUUGGUUCUCC